rnacentral:rRNA from 1 species
UACGUAGGGUGCGAGCGUUAAUCGGAAUUACUGGGCGUAAAGCGUGCGCAGGCGGUGAUGUAAGACAGAUGUGAAAUCCCCGGGCUCAACCUGGGAACUGCAUUUGUGACUGCAUCGCUGGAGUGCGGCAGAGGGGGAUGGAAUUCCGCGUGUAGCAGUGAAAUGCGUAGAUAUGCGGAGGAACACCGAUGGCGAAGGCAAUCCCCUGGGCCUGCACUGACGCUCAUGCACGGAAGCGUGGGGAGCAAACAGG